UGCAAAGAACUUUGAAGAGAGAGUUAAAAAGGACGUGAAACCACUGGCAGGUAAACGGGUGGAACCACGAAGUGUGCCCGCUGGUCAAUUCAAUCAGUGCCGUGUGCCAGUUGUGCUCGAGUGUUGUGUCUCUCUGGAGGCUGCUCGAGUGUAACUUGUGGCGCGCGGUGCUGGUGCAUUUUGAGCCGGGCGGUGCUAAUGCCACGUCCGACUAGGUGGUUGGGAUGGCCGUAGUGUGUGUCUCGAGGAAGGUGGCAGUCGUGAGCUUGCUUGCGGCUGUGUUAUAGCCUCGAGGCCGUGCCAUCGCCUAACGUGCUGGUCGGUAGAAUGAUUCCAUUUGGAAUGUCGCUUGUAGAGGUUGUUGGUGCUGCCGGGCGUCGCGGUCGCUACACUUGGUUGGACAUUUGCGUGUCUUUGGGCGCGUAAAGACGAUCUUGUGACUGUGGUCUAGGCGUUCGUUGCAUGAGGCAGCUGUACAAACGGUGGCACGAGUAGGUCGGUCUCCACCCGACCCGUCUUGAAACACGGACCAAGGAGCCUAUCAUGUACGCGAGUCGCUCAGUCUUGUUUAGGCUCGGGAGGCGCAAUGAAAGUAAUUGUUACGAGGCUCGCAAGGGUCGCAGUAACAGCCCGCCGGCUUCGUUUAUUUGGCGAUAUGGCGGAGUUGGAGCGUACACGAUGGUACCCGAAAGAUGGUGAACUAUGCCUGGGCAGGACGAAGCCAGAGGAAACUCUGGUGGAGGUUCGCAGCGGUUCUGACGUGCAAAUCGAUCGUCAGACCUGGGUAUAGGGGCGAAAGACUAAUCGAACCAUCUAGUAGCUGGUU
rnacentral:rRNA from 1 species